UUGUCUCAAAGAUUAAGCCAUGCAUGUCUCAGUACAAGCCAAAUUAAGGUGAAACCGCGAAAGGCUCAUUAAAUCAGUUAUGGUUCCUUAGAUCGUACCCACACUUACUUGGAUAACUGUGGCAAUUCUAGAGCUAAUACAUGCAAACAGAGCUCCGACCGGAAGCGGAAGGAGCGCUUUUAUUAGAUCAAAACCAAUCGGUGGCGGAUGCGUUCGCGCGCAUUCGUCAUCGUACACCAUGGUGAGUCUGAAUAACUUUUUGCUGAUCGCACGGUCUCGCACCGGCGACGCAUCUUUCAAAUGUCUGCCUUAUCAACUGUCGAUGGUAGGUUCUGCGCCUACCAUGGUUGUAACGGGUAACGGGGAAUCAGGGUUCGAUUCCGGAGAGGGAGCCUGAGAAACGGCUACCACAUCCAAGGAAGGCAGCAGGCGCGCAAAUUACCCACUCCCGGCACGGGGAGGUAGUGACGAAAAAUAACGAUACGGGACUCAUCCGAGGCCCCGUAAUCGGAAUGAGUACACUCUAAACCCUUUAACGAGGAUCAAUUGGAGGGCAAGUCUGGUGCCAGCAGCCGCGGUAAUUCCAGCUCCAAUAGCGUAUAUUAAAGUUGUUGCGGUUAAAAAGCUCGUAGUCGAAUUUGUGUCCCACGCCGCCGGUUCAUCGCUCGCGGUGUUUAACUGGCGUGUCCGAGGGACGUCCUGCCGGUGGGCUUAGCCCCGGGGCUCUGAAGCGUCGGGGCGGCCCAACUUCACAAAUCCCACCGCGGUGCUCUUCAUUGAGUGUCGAGGUGGGCCGGCACGUUUACUUUGAACAAAUUAGAGUGCUUAAAGCAGGCUAAAAUUUCGCCUGAAUAUUGUGUGCAUGGAAUAAUGGAAUAGGACCUCGGUUCUAUUUUGUUGGUUUUCGGAACCCCGAGGUAAUGAUUAAUAGGAACGGAUGGGGGCAUUCGUAUUGCGACGUUAGAGGUGAAAUUCUUGGACGUCGCAAGACGGACAGAAGCGAAAGCAUUUGCCAAAAACGCUUUCAUUGAUCAAGAACGAAAGUUAGAGGUUCGAAGGCGAUCAGAUACCGCCCUAGUUCUAACCAUAAACGAUGCCAGCUAGCGAUCCGCCGACGUUCCUCCGAUGACUCGGCGGGCAGCUUCCGGGAAACCAAAGCUUUUGGGUUCCGGGGGAAGUAUGGUUGCAAAGCUGAAACUUAAAGGAAUUGACGGAAGGGCACCACCAGGAGUGGAGCCUGCGGCUUAAUUUGACUCAACACGGGAAACCUCACCAGGCCCGGACACCGGAAGGAUUGACAGAUUGAGAGCUCUUUCUUGAUUCGGUGGGUGGUGGUGCAUGGCCGUUCUUAGUUGGUGGAGCGAUUUGUCUGGUUAAUUCCGAUAACGAACGAGACUCUAGCCUGUUAACUAGGCGUAAUUUCGACAUCUCAAAGGCCCGCGCCGGUCCGACGUUCGCGUCGAGGUCGCGCGCGCGGUUUUUACUGUCGGCGUACAAAUAAUUCUUCUUAGAGGGACAGGCGGCUUCUAGCCGCACGAGAUUGAGCAAUAACAGGUCUGUGAUGCCCUUAGAUGUUCUGGGCCGCACGCGCGCUACACUGAAGGAAUCAGCGUGUCUUCCCUGGCCGAGCGGCCCGGGUAACCCGCUGAACCUCCUUCGUGCUAGGGAUUGGGGCUUGCAAUUGUUCCCCAUGAACGAGGAAUUCCCAGUAAGCGCGAGUCAUAAGCUCGCGUUGAUUACGUCCCUGCCCUUUGUACACACCGCCCGUCGCUACUACCGAUUGAAUGAUUUAGUGAGGUCUUCGGACCGGUACGCGGUGGCGUUCCGACGUUGCCGAUGUUGCUGGGAAGAUGACCAAACUUGAUCAUUU
rnacentral:rRNA from 1 species